GUGCCAGCAGCCGCGGUAAUACGGGGGGGGCAAGCGUUGUUCGGAAUUACUGGGCGUAAAGGGUGCGUAGGCGGUUCGCUAAGUUGGAUGUGAAAACUAUGGGCUCAACCCAUAGCCUGCAUCCAAUACUGACGAACUAGAGUUCUGGAGGGGGUAGCGGAAUUCCUGGUGUAGCGGUGAAAUGCGUAGAUAUCAGGAGGAACACCGGUGGCGAAGGCGGCUACCUGGACAGAGUCUGACGCUGAGGCACGAAAGCUAGGGGAGCAAACAGGAUUAGAUACCCUGGUAGUCC
rnacentral:rRNA from 1 species